UACGUAGGGUGCGAGCGUUGUCCGGAAUUAUUGGGCGUAAAGCGCGCGCAGGCGGUCUUGUAAGUCCCGUUGUGUAAGACCGGGGCUCAACCCCGGGUUGCAAGGGAAACUGCAGGACUUGAGUGCGGGAGAGGGAAGCGGAAUUCCAUGUGUAGCGGUGAAAUGCGUAGAGAUAUGGAGGAACACCAGUGGCGAAGGCGGCUUCCUGGUCCGUAACUGACGCUGAGGCGCGAAAGCGUGGGGAGCAAACAGG
rnacentral:rRNA from 1 species